GUCAAAGCCUUGUAGAACCUUAGAAGUCUCAUUUGCCCACAAGGAAACUAUCUGGCCAGGAUUUUCUUGGGGUCACACAAGGAUUGACUGAGCAGGGCCGAUGCUCCAAGUUAAACAGGAAAAGGCACAAAGACAGCUUCAGCUUUGCGGGUAACAUUCCUCCUCUCCUGGCAAUGGUCACCUGAACUGAGGACCUAACCCACAAUCAGUUGCCCACGUCUUGGGAUCAUUCUGGAAAAGAAAAGUCAGAACAAUUUACAUAGAGAUGGGAUUUUGUUUUGGAGAAUGGAGUGAAUGUAAAUAGAGAUGUCUGUGUGAAUACUCAAAACUCAGGGCAAAGGGAAUAUCAGAUUUAUUCUGGACUUCAGACUGCCCUGCAACCCAAGAGCCGACUUUCAACCUUAAUUCCAUACCUAGCAGGAAGGAGAAGAAAAUAUACACGGAACCUUGAAGAGAAUAUACAGAAGCUAUGGAUCCCUGGUCAGGAUUGUAACUCACACUGGAAUGGGGCCACCAUUCCCUGUGGACUUAUCAAGCCACACCCCUGCCUUUUUUUUUUUUUUUUAAACCAACCACACUUAACACAGCUUUUGGCUAUUUUGUUCCCAAUGCUGUGCCAGUGGCAUGAUUUUAGAGAAAUUUGGAAUGUGAAACUGUCAGAGAGUAUUUUGUAGGGGAUUAGAAGUGUUUGGGCUACUCAGGAAAUAGGCUCCAACUGAGAACAUGUAGAUGUUAGGUGCUGUCCACUUAGGAAUGCAUCCUGGACCAGAGGGAAAGGAUUCAUGGGAAACUGGCAGGCGGUGCUGGAAGACACAGUUGGUAAGGUGAGGAGGGAGCCUGUGCCAGCUGGCCGGAAGUGAGAAAUCCACCCAUCUGCACUGGCUGGCUUUGCCACAGUCUUUUCCAUUUUCAUUGGCAUCAAAGUGAUUUUAACUCCUUUUCUGAAUUUGCUAAGAAACUAUUAUUUUAAAUGUCUCUGUCAUUAUCCUGAUCUUCAGUUUCCUUCCAUAGGUCUUUAAAAAAUCCUGCCUUCCCUGUAGAGGAUAGGGUGAUUCUCCGGAAACAGCCUUCUCCUACACAGAGCUGCCCAUGUCAUCCUUUGAAGCCUGAAUUCCAUUGUCUUUCUUCUGUGCUCAUCUGGGAUUGACAGGAGUAAAAGUGCCCCAGACAGUACCUUCUGGGAGAUGACUGAAUGGACCCCAGAGUGUCCCCAGUUUAUUUCCUUCCAAUCCUUGCCCUGAUUUUAUGUAAGACAAUAUGUAGAUACACCUCUGUCCCAAAAGAUGGAAAACCACACACUGACAAACACAUUACAUUUCCUCUUUGUGGCAUUUUCAUUAUGAUCAAACUGAGUGUGGGGUACAUAAAUGUAAUACAUUAAAAUUUUAAAGUAAUUAAAAAUUUCGAAUUUAACUUUAAAAGAUACUUUAGUAUUUUCAUUUGUUUAUUCCAGGGUCAAAUAAAACAGUAAAGCCAUGAAUUAAAAGGCCCAGACCCGGGUGCCUAGCUCUUUGCUGCAGACCCUCCAUGUUAGCCUCUACGUCAGAAGGGUUCCCUUUGCCCCGUGUUAUUAGACCAGCCCGAAAUGCCUGUCCACUGUGGCUCCUCACAUCAUUCCUGGAUUUAGGAAGAUUAUUAACGAUUUUCAUUUAAUUUCCUUCUGGAUGCUUGGCAGAGAGAGAGAGAGAGAGAGAGAGAGAGAGAGAGAGAGAGAGAGAAGCAAAUACAUAUGCAAGCAAAUAACUUUUAAAUCGUCUUUGCUAAGGACAUGGCCACUCUUGUAGAAGCCUGCAUGUUCAUACUUUAAGAAGACUGAGCUUGAGAACAAGAGACCAGGUAGAUCAUGGUCCCAGCUCAGAUCUGUUCCCAGAUAUAUGGAGGAUUCGUUUCUACCAUAAAGUUUCUCCAUUGACGUACUUCUGCUUUAAGUAUCAUCAGCCUUCCAUGUCUGCAGGUUCCACAGCUAAGAGUUCAACCAAUGAUGGAGGAAAAGUAUUAGAGAAGCACACAUAUCUAUAUUGAACAUAUGCAGAUUGUUGAUUUGGAUAUUAUUUCCUGAAUGAUAUGGUUUAACAACUAACUACUUAACAUUUUAUAAGGCAAUAUCAAGAUGUUUGAAAGCAUACAGAGGAAUUGUGUAGCCUAUAAGCAAAUAACAUGCCACUGUAUUGUAUUAUUAGAAGUUCAGGGUCAGGCAUCACGGGACAUACCACAAUCCCAGUAACUGGGGGAUGAGGCAGGAGGAUUUUUUGUUCAAGGUCAGCCUGGGCUACAGAGUGAGACUUUGUAUCUUACACUACUAUAAGUUCUUUGUAUUGGUUUUUAA